CUUCUGUUUCCUGAGCUUAACUUGCUCUUUCCUCCUUAGUACCUUUUCUGGACUCCCUCACUGUUGACUUUUUGGUUUUGGAUUUCUCUCUCUUGUCUUGCCCCUAUUGGAUUUGUUUGCCUCUCCUCUUGCCUACUACCUGUACAUGACUCCGCCUGGAAUAACCAACUACUCUACCUUGUUGCCUGCCUUGGAUCCCUCAGCUACCGGAUCUCGCCUGGAGACCCGCACAGGAUACAGCAAGAAGGUGAAGGGUGGUCAUAUUGUCGAGUCCAGCUGUGCUAGGAGAAGAUGGGGUGGGAGCCAAGCAAGGGGCCCCUGGGAUCUGCAGGAAUGACAGGGGGAUGAAAGCAGUAAAAAUGAAACCCAUCAGGAUUUGAGAGUCAAUGUAGUUUUGCGCUGACUGCUAUCCUUGAGAAGGGCUUCCUUGAGGGCUAUGUGGGCGACUAGAUAUGGUCACUUUUUGGCAAGACUGUUUUUUUCCCAUCAGCCCUCACCCACCCCUAAGACAGAAGGAACCAGACUGACCUCCUUUGAUUUUGAAGUGAUUCAGAAAGAUGCUGGAAUUAUGCUGUGGGCUAAUCCAGAAGCAAGCAAAUGUUUUUGAUUUUUUUUUUUUAUCCAGCUCCUUUUUUUUCAUAAAACCAGAACUGUGUGGAAAUUUAACGAUGAAAGAAACUCAGAAACCGAUUAUGAGGGAAAAAUGUCCACCUGUGUUAACUGUAAGCAACAUGUUUAGAAAUUACAGGAUCUGCAGGGAUCAAAAGGGAAUUGUGCCUUUCAGAGUCCAUGGACUGCAUUCCUCUGGAGCUGUGAUUGUGUUCUUUGUCCUUUGCUCUUCUUUCUUGUAUGAUUUACAGAAAGUAGAAUUGUCCUUUAGGCAAUCAGUAGACACCAGAACGGACUAAUCACAGCAAAAUCUUUGUACAGUAAAUUGUCACUCAUGAAAUUCCAAAUGUUUCUAUUUGUAUAUCUCCAUAUUUUUUUCUUUUUCUUUUUUGAGUCCUCUUCAGAAUUCCAAAUCUAUUUGGAGACUUUUUGAGCAUUUCUGGUGUCUGCUUCAUAGAACAGGACUAAGACCUCUUUUGUAUUUUAAUCAGCUGUCAGUUUAGAAGGAAUGGUCCUUUAUUGUUGUUGGUUCUGGCUUUCCACAUGUCACACUCUGACUGCAUUGCUACAACCAUGGACUGAAAAUUACAAGUCCUCUGCACGCACAACACAAUAUUGAUUACACGUUUUUUCCAGUUGUUGGUUUUCUACCAUUUAGAACUUCUUCGUUUUUUCAUUCCCAAGAAGGAAAAACUCACUUUUCUUGACGCAUUUUAGAAAUACAGCUUUCCAGACACAGAUUUUAGAUGGAAUUGCAGUGUUACAGGGAAGUCUCCAAGUUCUAGCAUGCAUUCUUUCAGUACCAGGAAGAAGCUGGACAUUUCUUUUCAAUAAAGACAACGAAAAUCUGCCAGACUGCCCAUCUGUCUGUCAAUAUACUAGACUUUCCUACACCUGAUAAUUAUCAUAACUUCAUUUAAAAAUGGAGCUAUAGUUACAUCUUUGCUGCAGGUUGUAUUUGGUGAUUAAGUAAAUCGGAGGCCAAUGGAAUUUCAAGAAGAAA